CCGGCGCACGGGUGAGUAACACGUAUGGAACCUGCCCGCAGCAGGGGGAUAAGCGGAAGAAAUUCCGUCUAAUACCGCGUAACACCGCAGAGGGGCAUCCCUCGGCGGUUAAAGAUUCAUCGGCUGCGGAUGGCCAUGCGGCGCAUUAGCUAGUCGGCGGGGUAACGGCCCACCGAGGCGACGAUGCGUAGGGGUUCUGAGAGGAAGGUCCCCCACACUGGUACUGAGACACGGACCAGACUCCUACGGAAGGCAGCAG
rnacentral:rRNA from 1 species